rnacentral:misc_RNA from 1 species
GAUGAAGAACGCAGUGAAAUGCGAUAAGUAAUGUGAAUUGCAGAAUUCAGUGAAUCAUUGAAUCUUUGAACGCACCUUGCGCCCUUUGGCUAUUCCGAAGGGCAUGCCUGUUUGAGUAUCAUGAACACCUCAACUCUCAUGGCUUGCCAUGAUGAGCUUGGACUUUUGGGGGUCUUGCUGGCCUGUGGUCAGCUCCUCUCAAAUGAAUUAGCCUGCCAGUGUUUGGUGGCAUCACAGGUGUGAUAACUAUCUACGCUUGUGGUUUUCCACCAGGUAACCUUCAGUGAUGAAGGUUCGCUGGGGCUCAUAAACGUCUCUCCUCAGUGAGGACAGCUCUUUGAACGUUUGAUCUCAAAUCAGGUAGGACUACCCGCUGAACUUAAGCAUAUCAAUAAGCGGAGGA